GCACGACUCAUCUGGCCUAAUCUCAACAAGCAGCACCAGCAGCAGCAGCAGCACCACGAGCAACAUCAGCAUCAUCUCGUUCUACUACAUCGAUGAAGUGGAUAGAGUUCCUGAAGCACCCUCCGCCACCUUCUCAGACAAUUCCAACAAAAGGAAGUCUAGGAUUCGCCUUGUGGGAAGAGUGAUUCUCAGGGGACUACGUAUCCUUGCCCGACCAUUUGCUGCAUGCUGCUGCUGCUGCUGCUAAAUGUUCCGUUAAUGUUGACUAGCUGACAUCUUUACAUGGAACAAAAAAACCGCUGAAUUUAUUUCGAUAUCUCUUCAUGCACACUGUAAUAAUAAUUUCAUUGUAAUACAUAACUGUAACUGAUAAAUUCAAAUAUCUGACGAUGUCGGGUUGUCGUCCGGGUAAGUUGUCAAGCCAGGAACUGACCCAGUACCCGGAAGCGGCUGACCGGGUGACCGAGUUGUGAUGUUCCUCACCCACCCUCCGACUGUCUGACGACCCCCACCCCUCCUCAGGGCGAGGACUCAUCGGUCAACUGGUCAGUCUGACCGGGUGUUGCGUUGUACAGUCCUGAUUGCACUCGUCUGGUGAUAGUCCCGCUUCGUCCUUCAAUGUCGAAAUUCGAAUUAUCAUUGAAAUACUCAUAUUUCUGGCACACGUUUUUCUUUUUGGGGUAAUUGUAGGAUGUCAGUUCAGUCACCAUGCUUGAACAUCAUUUGGUCAACUCUAUACUUGUGCACUUCAUAGACUGAGCAGUUCAGUCUUUUAUUUGUUUACUUGGAUUCAUUUAUCAUGUUGUAUUUUCUUAUUGAAUGAAUGUU